rnacentral:sRNA from 1 species
CCGACGCGCAGUACCAGACCUUGGCCCUCACGGUCCCUAAGUCUUGGUCGCCCUCGCCUCGCAGCCUGCCACCCGCGCUCAGCUGCCCGCCUCCUCAGCCAGCCAUGCUGGAGCAUCUGAGCUCGCUGCCCACGCAGAUGGUGAGGGCGCAGCCCGGGGACCUCCGCACGCCGCUCUUGUGCCUGGCAGCUUCGAAGCCCAUGUCGGAGCACCCACCCGGUGCUGCGCUGUUCCGGCCCGGAUGGUUACCCUCCACCCUCUUUCCCGAAUUGCCUCCUGGGUCCCCUUCUCUUCUACUUCGCGAGAAUCUCCUGUCCAUUCUCCGUGAGGGUGUUUCAGUUCCUCCCGGGAAGCCCAGAAUUUAAUAUCUUGCCCAGCCCCUUAGGAGAGCGGGAGACCCUGAUGUUGGGGUUACCCUGUGCCAGAGUUGUGAGGUCAGGGCAGGAAUUGUAUCUCCUCGGCGGUGGAACCAAUUCUUUUUUUCCUCUGCUUCACCCCAGGAUUACAAGGGCCAGAAGCUAGCUGAACAGAUGUUUCAGGGAAUUAUUCUUUUUUCUGCAAUAGUUGGAUUUAUCUACGGGUACGUGGCUGAACAGUUCGGAUGGACUGUCUAUAUAGUUAUGGCCGGAUUUGCUUUUUCAUGUUUGCUGACACUUCCUCCAUGGCCCAUCUAUCGCCGGCAUCCUCUCAAGUGGUUACCUGUUCAAGAAUCAAGCACAGACGACAAGAAACCAGGGGAAAGAAAAAUUAAGAGGCAUGCUAAAAAUAAUUGAGGUUUUCAUGAUUCAGCACCUGCUUUUGUUUCUGUGAGAUGAGCUAAAUUGCUUUCAUACCCCAGAUAAGAGCUAAAACCACCUAAUGCUCUUAUGGCACAGUUGUGUAUAGAUUUAGUUCUCUUUAUACUUCAUUUCUAGCCCAGUUGGGUUUUGAUUUAUAUAAGUAGUUUAGACCUUCUCUUCAUAAUCUUGCUCCGAGAUGGG